GAUGAACGCUGGCGGCGUGCCUAAUACAUGCAAGUCGAGCGAACAGACGAGGAGCUUGCUCCUCUGACGUUAGCGGCGGACGGGUGAGUAACACGUGGAUAACCUACCUAUAAGACUGGGAUAACUUCGGGAAACCGGAGCUAAUACCGGAUAAUAUAUUGAACCGCAUGGUUCAAUAGUGAAAGACGGUUUUGCUGUCACUUAUAGAUGGAUCCGCGCCGCAUUAGCUAGUUGGUAAGGUAACGGCUUACCAAGGCAACGAUGCGUAGCCGACCUGAGGGGGUUGUCGGGCACCCCUGGACUGAGACCCGGGCCAGACGCCUAAGGGAGGCAGCAAGAGGGAAGUUUCCGCAAUUGGCGAAAGCCUGACUGGGCAACGGCGCGGGAGUGAUGAAGGUCUUUCGAACCGAAAACCUUGUUAUUUGGGAAAGACCAAAGUGUAAGUUAAUAUGGCACUCUUGACCGUAACCAAUUAGAAAGCCAACGGCAACGCACUG
rnacentral:rRNA from 1 species